AUUUAAUUAUAUCAUCCCAUUAACUUUCCUUACUCACUCGUUUGCUCACCACAACUAAUCACUUUCUCUCUCCAACAAAACACACACACACUGUUGUAUCUAUAUCUACCUAUUUCUCUCUUUGCUCACCACUCUCUUCACUUUUCAUACACUUACUUUCACACAAUACAAUACAACAAGAUGUACAUAUAUAGAUGACAAUGUCGCGGCUCCUACAAUUUUUACUAUGUUAGUGCAGUGAUUCUAGAUAAUUCCAUUCAUGAUAAUGGAGAUCAUCUGUUGGAUUUUUGAUACCCAAUAAAUCUCGGGCUAUGAUGUUAACGUGGGUUAAUAUUAUUUCAUAGGCAUAGGCCGAUGAAUGAAAUAAGUCCAACAACCAAGUCCAUGAGCUACACCCUGCCCAAUUGUAUUUCUUAUGGAUGACUUGAAUCUUGGUCCAUUUACCCCUUUAAUGGCCUAACUUAAAGCCUAAUCCUACAGUAUAUAUUUGGCUAUAACCCUAGCCACUUUCAUAUGAUGUUUUGUGUGAUUUUAAGAGAAGAAAUAGUGAAUACCGGCUGCCCCCCUUUGUGUGAGAAAAAGGUGUCCAUAAAUGUCCAGAACGCUUGUAUAAUGUGUGCAAUUGGUGGUUCAUUCAUAAUAUACCUUUGUGGUAUCUUCUCUUAGUCUUUGUGGCCAUAAAUCAUCAUUCUUUUUUGUCCUACGUGGGUAAGAUUGCAUAGCAACCAAGAUGAAUCAAUUGGUUGUGGUUUGGUGCCUAUUAGACUGGUUGUUGGUUGAAAAAGGUACAUUGGACUGAGCUUGGAAAAUCACCGUUUGAAGAUCCUUUUGAGAGAGCUUCCGCAACAUCAUCAUUUAGCAUGUUCUAGAAAAUUCCUGACCUUCUUCCAGAAGAAGCAUCAAGAAUGGUCUGUAAAAUAUGAGAUGGAUAAGUCCACAAAAUUCUGAAAAUUUUUCUAUGUUGGUGGUGAUAUUCAAUUAUCCCUUUCAACAUAACUUUUCAUUUUAAGUAUUUUCUUUUUAUAAUACC
rnacentral:sRNA from 1 species